rnacentral:lncRNA from 1 species
GGCCCGCACCCGCGCUGUGUGCGUUCGCGCCCUCGCCUCCCCUCAGGACGUCGCUGACAGCGGGCCCUCGCUGUCAGCUCCGUCUUCCACCUCCGGCCGGCCGAAUCAAUGGCGCGACCGAGCCAUCCGUGCCUCCUCUGCUUCCCGUGACCUGCUGGUCGCGUUCUCCAUUCCUAGGCGCACCUCUGGAUACCCUUCUCACCCCCUUUCUUCUCCCCUAACCCCCGCGACCACGGACACGGCGGACGGCCACCUCGGCCGGGCAAACACCGGCCACUACACUUGAGU